GUCCAAUCCUCCCGGAGACACCUGUUGGAGCACCGACUGGCUGGUCGCCAUGGCGUUGCUAUUGUGGUGACUGAUGGUCGUGGAGGAGGUGACCUCACCGGGGCCUUGGCUGUAACGCACUGAGAAAGAGAGACAGAACAGGAAGGUUCGCUGCCGACCUCGUCACCAGGCUGACCCAUGCCCUGACCAGACGGGUUGAACUCUGGGAAAAAAAACACCGGAUCCUGAUUGCCUUUGUCUGUCAUAUUGCUGCCAGAACCUUGCACUGCCUGGUUGAACUCUGAAAAAUAAGAAGAGGUACAUUCAAUAAAAGUGAUUUCACAAUU